rnacentral:lncRNA from 1 species
UGCUGCAGAGGAUCCUGAAUGCCUCAUCUUCGUAGAGCUAUUUCCUAAUACCUAAGCUUUGAAAGAAUUUUAGGCAUUAAAAUAGUAGAUUCAUGGGUCAUUCAUGUCUCUAUUGUUUUAAUUGCGGCCUGAUCUAAUGUUGGGGGGAUUAGAAGAAGGAGGCAUAAACAAGAGGCUGUCGCACAAAAAUCUGCAUGCCUGUAGAUUUUCAGUACUUUGUCUCUUCUUCGAUUUGCUGAAUUAACACCCAAGUUCUCAUGCAAGAGAUCGGUCUAUGACUGAUAUUAGAGAGAUACCAAGAUACAAUAGUUGGUAACAGAGCCAGUUGAGCAUGG